GUGGCACAGUGGUUAAUGCAUUCAGCUGCUAACUGAAAGGUCGCGGUUCGAGCCCACC
rnacentral:tRNA from 1 species